CCCCUCUCAGUGUUGCACCUGGAGAGUUUCCAAUACUCUACCAGUCUCAGUGGCGGGAGAGAGAGUCAAGCAGAGACCUAUCCAUUCCAUUCCUAGAUUGGCCAGUGGUUAGUGAGUCGAAGACAAUCUGCUACAAUU